rnacentral:rRNA from 1 species
UACGUAGGGUGCGAGCGUUGUCCGGAAUUAUUGGGCGUAAAGGGCUCGUAGGCGGUUUGUCGCGUCGGGAGUGAAAACACCGGGCUUAACUCGGUGCUUGCUUUCGAUACGGGCAGACUAGAGGUAUUCAGGGGAGAACGGAAUUCCUGGUGUAGCGGUGAAAUGCGCAGAUAUCAGGAGGAACACCGGUGGCGAAGGCGGUUCUCUGGGAAUAUCCUGACGCUGAGGAGCGAAAGCGUGGGGAGCGAACAGG